rnacentral:rRNA from 1 species
AUUGAACGCUGGCGGCAGGCCUAACACAUGCAAGUCGAACGAGCGGCGGACGGGUGAGUAAUGUCUGGGAAUCUGCCCGAUGGAGGGGGAUAACUACUGGAAAAGGUAGCUAAUACCGCAUACUAUCGGAUGAGCCCAGAUGGGAUUAGCUAGUAGGUGGUGUAACGGCUCACCUAGGCGACGAUCCCUAGCUGGUCUGAGAGGAUGACCGGCAACACUGGAACUGGGACACGGCCCAGACUCCUACGGGAGGCAGCAGUGGGGAAUAUUGCACAAUGGGCGAAAGCCGGAUGCAGACAUGCGGGGUGUAUGAAGAAGGCCUUCGGGUUGUAAAGUAUGUUCAGCGGGGAGGCGUUACCCGCAGAAGAAGCACCGGCUAACUCCGUGCCAGCAGCCGCGGUAAUAC